GCUUACCAUGCAGUCGAACGGUGAAGCAGAGCUUGCUCUGUGGAUCAGUGGCGAACGGGUGAGUAACACGUGAGCAAUCUGCCCCUGACUCUGGGAUAAGCGCUGGAAACGGCGUCUAAUACCGGAUACGAGCUGCGACCGCAUGGUCAGUAGCUGGAAAGAAUUUCGGUCAGGGAUGAGCUCGCGGCCUAUCAGCUUGUUGGUGAGGUAAUGGCUCACCAAGGCGUCGACGGGUAGCCGGCCUGAGAGGGUGACCGGCCACACUGGGACUGAGACACGGCCCAGACUCCUACGGGAGGCAGCAGUGGGGAAUAUUGCACAAUGGGCGAAAGCCUGAUGCAGCAACGCCGCGUGAGGGAUGACGGCCUUCGGGUUGUAAACCUCUUUUAGCAGGGAAGAAGCGAAAGUGACGGUACCUGCAGAAAAAGCGCCGGCUAACUACGUGCCAGCAGCCGCGGUAAUACGUAGGGCGCAAGCGUUAUCCGGAAUUAUUGGGCGUAAAGAGCUCGUAGGCGGUCUGUCGCGUCUGCUGUGAAAACCCGAGGCUCAACCUCGGGCCUGCAGUGGGUACGGGCAGACUAGAGUGCGGUAGGGGAGAUUGGAAUUCCUGGUGUAGCGGUGGAAUGCGCAGAUAUCAGGAGGAACACCGAUGGCGAAGGCAGAUCUCUGGGCCGUAACUGACGCUGAGGAGCGAAAGGGUGGGGAGCAAACAGGCUUAGAUACCCUGGUAGUCCACCCCGUAAACGUUGGGAACUAGUUGUGGGGUCCAUUCCACGGAUUCCGUGACGCAGCUAACGCAUUAAGUUCCCCGCCUGGGGAGUACGGCCGCAAGGCUAAAACUCAAAGGAAUUGACGGGGACCCGCACAAGCGGCGGAGCAUGCGGAUUAAUUCGAUGCAACGCGAAGAACCUUACCAAGGCUUGACAUAUAGAGGAAACGUCUGGAAACAGUCGCCCCGCAAGGUCUCUAUACAGGUGGUGCAUGGUUGUCGUCAGCUCGUGUCGUGAGAUGUUGGGUUAAGUCCCGCAACGAGCGCAACCCUCGUUCUAUGUUGCCAGCACGUAAUGGUGGGAACUCAUGGGAUACUGCCGGGGUCAACUCGGAGGAAGGUGGGGAUGACGUCAAAUCAUCAUGCCCCUUAUGUCUUGGGCUUCACGCAUGCUACAAUGGCCGGUACAAAGGGCUGCAAUACCGUGAGGUGGAGCGAAUCCCAAAAAGCCGGUCCCAGUUCGGAUUGAGGUCUGCAACUCGACCUCAUGAAGUCGGAGUCGCUAGUAAUCGCAGAUCAGCAACGCUGCGGUGAAUACGUUCCCGGGUCUUGUACACACCGCCCGUCAAGUCAUGAAAGUCGGUAACACCUGAAGCCGGUGGCCCAACCCUUGUGGAGGAGCCGUCGAAGGUGGAU
rnacentral:rRNA from 1 species